ACAGAAUGAAGAUCACCAAGGCUUCCAAAACAAAAGAAGCAGAAGAUCUAGAACAGUGAACUAAGCCCAUUGAACAUGGUCAGUUCCAAGCCUCCGAACUGAAUCUUCAGAGACUCCAGGAAGAACAAGAAUGGAGACUCUCCUGCGGGGUUCAGUGAUGCUCCUGUGUGUGCAGCUAACUUGGUCAAACGCAAAAACAAGGCCGGUGGAACAGAGCCCUCCGUCCCUGAAAAUCAAGGAAGGCGAGAGCUUCACACUGAACUGCAGUUACAAAGGCAGCUAUCCCGAUUUCUUCCAAUGGUUUGGGCAGGAUCCUGGGGAAGGCCUCAGCUCUCUGAUACAAAUGCGUUCAAAUGAGAAAGAGAAGUUCAGCGGAAGAUUCACAAGCGGGCUAGACAAAGAGGGCCGGCACUUUUCCCUGCACGUGGAGGAUUCCGGGCUCCGGGACUCAACCACGUUCUUGUGUGCAGUGAGCACAGUGCGGCUCGUGCACCUGCGGCCCGUGCCCAAACCCUGCCCGGCCCUGCACCUCCUUCUAGAAGGGCUCCAGGGCUGA